GAGGGUAUAGCUCAGUGACAGAGUGCAUGCCUAGCAUGCAUGAGGUCCUUGGUUCAAUCCCCAGCACUGCCA
rnacentral:tRNA from 1 species